rnacentral:misc_RNA from 1 species
AUUUAUUCAGGAUCCUCCUCUCCGAAUCUAUCCAGAGAAAACUAUAGUGAAAUGGAACUGAUGGAAAUACAAAGAAAUCCAUAUCGAUUGUAACGAUCUUCAUGAUCUAAAACCCAAGUGUUUAACAACACGAAUAGUUUUUUCUGAAGUUUGCACAAGUGAAAGAGUCACUAUGGAAUUAGCUGACAGAACGAUUGGACUGCUUUUGACAGUUACUAGCUUGUCAAUUUUCACAUAUUAUACCUUCUGGGUCAUCA